GGAUACCCGAGGGAAACUUCGGUUAAUACGGUAUAAGACCACACUACCGCAUGGUAGAGGGGUAAAAGGGGCAACCUGGUAUGAGAUGGACUCGCGUCGCAUUAGCUAGUUGGUGAGGUAACGGCCCACCAAGGCGACGAUGCGUAGCCGACCUGAGAGGGUGAUCGGCCACAUUGGGACUGAGAUACGGCCCAGACUCCUACGGGAGGCAGCAGUGGGGAAUAUUGGGCAAUGGAGGAAACUCUGACCCAGCAAUGCCGCGUGAAUGAAGAAGGUCUUCGGAUUGUAAAGUUCUUUAGUCAGGGAAGAAGUCAAUGACGGUACCUGAAGAAUAAGCUCCGGCUAACUACGUGCCAGCAGCCGCGGUAAUACGUAGGGAGCAAGCGUUGUUCGGAAUGACUGGGCGUAAAGGGUGCGUAGGCGGUUGUACAAGUUAGAAGUGAAGUACCCAGGGCUUAACUCGGGUGCUGCUUCUAAAACUGUAUGACUUGAGUGCAGUAGAGGUUAGUGGAAUUCCUAGUGUAGCGGUGGAAUGCGUAGAUAUUAGGAGGAACACCAGAGGCGAAGGCGGCUAACUGGACUGCAACUGACGCUGAGGCACGAAAGUGUGGGGAGCAAACAGGAUUAGAUACCCUGGUAGUCCACACUGUAAACGAUGGAUACUAGAUGUAGGAGGUAUCGACUCCUUCUGCGUCGCAG
rnacentral:rRNA from 1 species